UGUUUCCAGGCUCUUGCAUCUGAUGGAUGAGUCAUCUCACCAUCCGUUUGAGUAUGCUCGACAUGCCAUCUCAUCUUUCCAGCAGUCUGCUCUGAUUGGUACAAUCUUUUCAACCUGUCUGUAAUUGGUAGGUACCGCAUCCUUUGGUACGGUAUCCUAUUACGUCCCCGUCCUUGCGGCUUGAAUCGUGGCUUCUUGCAGAAUCAACAUUCUUCUAACUUCUCAUCAUCUCCCCAGUAGAUCAUGCAGUUGUCGAUACAAACAUCUAUCAUCUCCGAAGGGAAUCCAAGACUAUAAACCAGU
rnacentral:lncRNA from 1 species